rnacentral:rRNA from 1 species
GACGAACGCUGGCGGCGUGCUUAACACAUGCAAGUCGAACGGACAGGCCCUGCUUUUUUGGUUUGCUCGAGUGGCGAACGGGUGAGUAACCCGUUAGUAACCUGCCCUUUACUUUGGGAUAACUUCAGGCUACUGUGCCUAAUACCGGAUAGUAGCUCCUGCUGCAUAGUGGGGGUUGGAAAGUUUCGGCGUUUGGGGAUCGACGCGCGGGUUAUCGGCUUGUUGGUGGGGUAGUGGCUUACCAAGGCUUUGACGGGUAGCCUGCCUGAGAAGGUGAACGGGGACAUUGGGACUGAGAGACGGACCAGAAGGCUACGGGAGGCAGCAGUGGGGAGUAUGGCGGAGUGGGGGGAAGCCAGAGAAAGAAACGCCGGGAGCGGGAUGACGGCCUUCGGGUGGUAAAGCGCUUACGCAUGUGACGAAGCGUAAGUGACGGUAAUGAGUAAAGAAGCAACGGCUAACUACGUG